rnacentral:rRNA from 1 species
AUUGAACGCUGGCGGCAGGCUUAACACAUGCAAGUCGAGCGGGGGAGGUUGCUUCGGUAACUGACCUAGCGGCGGACGGGUGAGUAAUACUUAGGAAUCUGCCUAUUAAUGGGGGACAACAUCUCGAAAGGGAUGCUAAUACCGCAUACGCCCUACGGGGAAAGCAGGGGAUCACUUGUGACCUUGCGUUAAUAGAUGAGCCUAAGUCGGAUUAGCUAGUUGGUGGGGUAAAGGCCUACCAAGGCGACGAUCUGUAGCGGGUCUGAGAGGAUGAUCCGCCACACUGGGACUGAGACACGGCCCAGACUCCUACGGGAGGCAGCAGUGGGGAAUAUUGGACAAUGGGGGGAACCCUGAUCCAGCCAUGCCGCGUGUGUGAAGAAGGCCUUAUGGUUGUAAAGCACUUUAAGCGAGGAGGAGGCUCUUUUGGUUAAUACCCAAGAUGAGUGGACGUUACUCGCAGAAUAAGCACCGGCUAACUCUGUGCCAGCAGCCGCCGUAAAAC